rnacentral:rRNA from 1 species
CCUUGUACWCACCGCCCGUCWCGGACGAMMGUGGGUACGGGGUCUAGCCGGGGGCCCCACCCCUUGWGGSAUGUGUGUGGGUUGAAWGCUCCKGGGGAGAAGGAYGAACCCGCGGCCUAUCARCUUGUUGGUGAGGUAAUGGCUCACCAAGGCGACGACGGGUAGCCGGCCUGAGAGGGCGACCGGCCACACUGGGACUGAGACACGGCCCAGACUCCUACGGGAGGCAGCAGUGGGGAAUAUUGCACAAUGGGCGAAAGCCUGAUGCAGCGACGCCGCGUGAGGGAUGACGGCCUUCGGGUUGUAAACCUCUUUCAGCAGGGAAGAAGCGAAAGUGACGGUACCUGCAGAAGAAGCGCCGGCUAACUACGUGCCAGCAGCCGCGGUAAUACGUASGGCGCAAGCGUUGUCCGGAAUUAUUGGGCGUAAAGAGCUCGUAGGCGGCUUGUCACGUCRGGUGUGAAAGCCCGGGGCUUAWCCCCGGGUCUGCAUUCGAUACGGGCUAGCUAGAGUGUGGUAGGGGAGAUCGGAAUUCCUGGUGUAKCGGUGAWAUGCGCAGAUAUCAAGAGGAACACMGGUGGCSAACGCGGAUCUCYGGGCCAUUACUGACGCUGAAGARCGAAAKCGUGGGAGCGAAC